UGAGGAACAUGACCUUCGGCGGGGGAUAGCCGGCCCAACGGCCGGGUAAUACCGCGUACGACCACAUGGGGACAUCCCCGAGUGGUGAAAGCAGCAAUGCGCCGAUGGAGUGCCUCGCGGCCUAUCAGCUUGUUGGUGGGGUAACGCUCACCAAGGCAACGGACGGGUAGCUGGUCUGAGAGGAUGGCCAGCCACAUUGGGACUGAGACACGGCCCAGACUCCUAGUGGGAGG
rnacentral:rRNA from 1 species